rnacentral:rRNA from 11 species
CGGAUCGCGGCGACGUGGGCGGUUCGCCGCCGAUGACGUCGCGAGAAGUCCACUGAACCUUAUCAUUUAGAGGAAGGAGAAGUCGUAACAAGGUUUCCGUAGGUGAACCUGCGGAAGGAUCAUUG